CCCCACCCCCCACCCCCCACCCCCGUGGUGCCUCGACUUCCAGGGCCGCGGGUUUCACAACCUCGCUCCGUAUCUCUGAGACUCUCCAGCCGCUGCUCACCGUGCCCCCCAAAUAUGACGUGUUGAGUCAAGACGAACUACGCACAAAGCUAUACCAGACCUUCAAGGGCCGAGGUAUCCUGGACUCCCUCAAGGUAUCGGCUUUAGGCAUAUCUGUUCUGUAACUUUUACAAGUGGAAGCGGUAACAGGGAGUCCGCAUUUAAACCCACUGGGUCUUGGUUUUAAAAAUAAUAUGAUAUGCAGGUGGUAUUGGGGAGUGGCGCUUUUAUGUUUUGUAUAACUCGUUAUCCUGGAAAGCAUUCUCAAACGGUUUAGCGAUUUCCCGGUCUUCAUAUUCAAAUAGAUUUAUUGACUGACAUUCAGAUAGGAGCGAGUAGCUUUAUAAAAUGAAAACAUUUUAGUAACGAGGCAAGUUUUGUGAAACUGGUUCGUAGGUUCUUGAAUUAAUACGUGGUUUUGUAAUAGUCAUGUUUGGAUGAAGGAUAUUGAGACAAUAUAAUAAACAUUGUGUGCUGCUUACAGUAGAAUAGUCUGGAGAAUGAAAGCUUUUUUUCUUUAAAAUAUAAUGAAAGGUCUGAAGGUCUCACUUGGGCAGCACAUACUUAUUAGUAUGAAUUAACAGCAAGGAGUAGGGUUACCUCAAAUGUGUUUUCAUUACUAUAUACAGUUAGGAGUAUAUUUUACACUUAUCAGGGGAAAUUAAAGAAAACUGAGUUUUUCCUUCUCCCCCAUUGUUUUCGUAACUUAAAAAAACAAAACAGAACACUUUAUACCUAUCUGAAAAAACCCAUAAAAACAUACAGGGAGAAAGUC